rnacentral:rRNA from 1 species
UACGUAGGUGGCAAGCGUUAUCCGGAAUUAUUGGGCGUAAAGAGCGCGCAGGUGGUUGAUUAAGUCUGAUGUGAAAGCCCACGGCUUAACCGUGGAGGGUCAUUGGAAACUGGUCGACUUGAGUGCAGAAGAGGGAAGUGGAAUUCCAUGUGUAGCGGUGAAAUGCGUAGAUAUACGGAGGAACACCAGUGGCGAAGGCGGAUUGCUGGACAUUAACUGACGCUGAGGCGCGAAAGCGUGGGGAGCAAACAGGAUUAGAUACU